rnacentral:rRNA from 1 species
AGUGAACGCUGGCGGUAGGCCUAACACAUGCAAGUCGAACGGCAGCACAGUAAGAGCUUGCUCUUACGGGUGGCGAGUGGCGGACGGGUGAGGAAUACAUCGGAAUCUACUUUUUCGUGGGGGGUAACGUAGGGAAACUUACGCUAAUACCGCAUACGACCUACGGGUGAAAGCAGGGGAUCUUCGGACCUUGCGCGAUUGAAUGGGCCGAUGUCGGAUUAGCUAGUUGGCGGGGUAAAGGCCCACCAAGGCGACGAUCCGUAGCUGGUCUGAGAGGAUGAUCAGCCACACUGGAACUGAGACACGGUCCAGACUCCUACGGGAGGCAGCAGUGGGGAAUAUUGGACAAUGGGCGCAAGCCUGAUCCAGCCAUACCGCGUGGGUGAAGAAGGCCUUCGGGUUGUAAAGCCCUUUUGUUGGGAAAGAAAAGCAGCAGGUUAAUACCCCGCUGUUCUGACGGUACCCAAAGAAUAAGCACCGGCUAACUUCGUG